UUAAAGUCUAACCUGCCCACUGAAAUUUUAAAUGGCCGCAGUAUUCUAACUGUGCAAAGGUAGCAUAAUCAUUAGUCUUUUAAUUGAAGGCUGGAAUGAAUGGUUGGACGAGAUAUUAACUGUUUCAUUUUAAUUUUUUUUAGAAUUUUAUUUUUUAGUCAAAAAGCUAAAAUUUAUUUAAAAGACGAGAAGACCCUAUAAAUCUUUAUAUUUUAUUUAUUUUAAUUAUAAAGAUUAUUUUUAUUAUAAUAAAUUAAAAUAUUUUAUUGGGGUGAUAUUAAAAUUUAAAAAACUUUUAAUUUUUAAAAAUCAUUAAUUUAUGAAUAAUUGAUCCAUUAAUAGUGAUUAAAAAAUUAAGUUACUUUAGGGAUAACAGCGUAAUUUUUUUGGAGAGUUCUUAUCGAUAAAAAAGAUUGCGACCUCGAUGUUGGAUUAAGAUAUAAUUUUGGGUGUAGCCGUUCAAAUUUUAAGUCUGUUCGACUUUUAAAUUCUUACAUGAUCUGAGUUCAAACCGGCGUAAGCCAGGUUGGUUUCUAUCUUUAAAAAAUUCUAAUAUUUUAGUACGAAAGGACCAAAUAUUAAAAUAAUUAUAUUUUUAAAAAAGAAUAUUAUUAAUUAUA
rnacentral:rRNA from 1 species